GACGUAGGGUGCGAGCGUUGUCCGGAUUUAUUGGGCGUAAAGAGCUCGUAGGCGGCUCGCCGCGUCGACCGUGAAAACCCGCGGCUUAACUGCGGGCUUGCGGUUGAUACGGGCGGGCUAGAGUUCGGUAGGGGAGACUGGAAUUCCUGGUGUAGCGGUGAAAUGCGUAGAUAUCUGGAGGAACACCGGUGGCGAAGGCGGCAUCCUGGACCGGUAUUGACGCUGAGGCGCGAAAGCUAGGGGAGCAAACGGG
rnacentral:rRNA from 1 species